AUGGGCGCGUUCUAACUACAAAUUGUAUCAGGCGCGUUCCAAGCGCGUCGCGUUCAAUGUAUACGCGCCUUUAUAAACCAGGACACAGCAAGUGGUUUGAAAAUGAAAACUUGAAAAGCCAUAGCAGUUUAGAGCACAGAAAACAAACCAAGGAUCCUCCAAUUUCCCUUUGUUUUCUGUGGUUUAGAGUUUAGACUGAUUCAGUUCAGCUGAGUUUUUUAGUUCUUUCAGUUGUUGCAGUUUUACUUACAAUUAAUCCCUUCUUUAUCUGUUUCUUUCUACAAAUAUUAGUAAGUUGGUCUUUAUCCUCCUAACCAAUCAACACUAUCUGGUAAACAGUUGUAAGUCUGCAUGCCUACUAGCAUCAGAUAAUUUUUUAAUAAUGCCAAAUCCAAAUCAAGUAAGGAUAGUCGUAAUUGACUACUACAUGUCUUCCCCAAUACCUGGACUAGAUUUAACAUAUUCUGAAUUUCGUAGUUCUGCAAUUACACAUGUUCCUGUGCUAAGAUGUUUUGGAUCAGAUAAAAAUGGAAAAAAAACAUGUGUACAUAUUCAUGGAGUAUUUCCUUAUUUAUAUAUUCCAUAUAAUGGGAAAGGAAAUUCAGAGGAGCAUAUGUACAAAAUAGCAAUGGCAUUGGAUAAGGCUAUAAAUAUAUCAUUUAAUCAAGCCAGCUCAAAUGCUCAACAUGUUUAUAAGAUAUGUUUGGUAUCUGGAAUACCGAUGUACGGAUAUCACUUAAACCAGCACCAAUUUUUUAAAAUAUUUCUGUAUAAUCCGGCCCUCAUUGCAAAAGUAGGAGAUAUAUUACUUAGAAGAACGGCUUUGGAUGAAAUUUAUCAGCCACACGAAGCCCAUCUAAAUUUUACCCUUCAGUUUAUGAUCGACUAUAAUCUCCAUGGAAUGAGCAGUAUGUUAAUUUCUGAUAUUAAAUACAGGACGAAUCCUGAUGAAAAGUAUUCUGAUCUGGACGAAACUUUGCGUCGACCAAAUAUAAUUAAGAGAACCUCAAUAUGUGAACUAGAAGGUGAUAUAAACGCUGAACAUAUCCUAAACAGGCAAGAAACCGUAGGCGUUAAUCCAGGCAUUGCCGCUUUGUGGGAUGAUGAAAAGCUGAGAAGAAGGAAUAAGGGUGAAAACUCGCAGUUAGGAAAUUUUUUAGAACUACAGGAUAUUGAUACAGAUUCUACAAAAACUCACUUGAUAUUUCAGCAGAGUCUUAGAGAACGACUAGCUGUUUUAGUCACAAAUGAAGAUAUACAAAAACAAAGUCUGGAUGUAUCAAUCUACCCAGCAGAAAUUCCAAGACAUACCAAAUCGAAUUUCCAAAAUGCAUCACAAAUUGAUAUUCAUUCUACUUCCUCACUGGAGUUAUCAUUAGAUGAAACUUUUAGCGUUACUUGUAGUCAGGGCUUAUAUGAUACUAUAACGCCUAACGAGUCACAAUUUGAUGUUAGUCUUGAUGAGGAAGCACAGGAGUUUUUAAAUAUGUUGCAACAUAUGGCUAAUGACAAGGGUGCACAAAAUGGAGUUGAAGAAGAUGAAGAAUGUAUUCUAUCCCAGGUGGAGGCAGAAGAUGUAAACGAUGACUCUAAUGAACAUUUUCUUGAUUUAAGUAUGCCAUUGGAAUCGCUCGCGACACCUACAAAAAGUACUAAUGAGAAUAUUUUGCAAUUGGAUGGUUUUGUGGAUGAUUGGCUUUCUGAUUCUGAUAACGAGUCAUUGGCCACGUUACGUAAAAAAUGGCAUUGCGAACAACCUUCUUCUCAAUUAACAGGCAGGCAGUAGCCGCGUUUAUUAAUUAUUACUUGGCUUCUCAAAGUGGUGAGAGAUAAGUAAUACCCGAGUCCGUGAUGUCAUAAUUACUAUCCGUAUAGCAACAGAGCAGAGGAAAAUGUCACAUCGGUCAGAUUAAAAUGCAGCAAAUCAAUGCCACUUCUAGAGUCCACGUGCCAAGUUCACAAAAACCAAAAUAAUUUAUUUAAGCAUAAAGAAGUACAACCUGACAAAUUAAAACUAAAUGUCGUCGUCCUACUUGAGCGCAUUCAAGUUGAAAAAAUAGCUAACAUAGAACCUUUAGAUUUGAUAAAAACAUUAAAUAAAAAUGUUGCUGCGGUAAAGUAUCCGUAUUUUAAUAAACGUAGUCCCGAAGAUAUAUUUGAAGAUAAUAUGCGGCUGAUUAAAUUUAGAAUGGAACGAUUAAUUAGCAGGAGAAAACUCAAGGUUAUUGGGGACAAGUUGAGGAUCAAAUAUAAAAAAGCAGUAAAAUUGUCGAAGAAAAUCAGUUUGUCGCCAAAAUUUAACCUCGUUUCUGCAAAACGGCGGUGGUUAGGUGUCCCGACAAAAAGAAGUCGAGGCGAGUCAAAUAAUUACUCUGCAUCCGAAAUUGUUAUUCAGAGAACAAGCUCUACACCUAACAUGUAUUUUAACUGUGAUGGCUUAGUGGACAGCACUUCUUCUGAUGACGAACAAGGGUUGGGAUCAAAAGAAAAAAAAUCUGUAAAGCAGCCUUUGGAUAUUAUUGUUAAGAAUUCGCCUAGGAUAUUGGAAAACUUUCAGCGAGGUGUGGCUAAAAACUUACCGAAGGCAGAUGAGAGUGACAAAUA
rnacentral:misc_RNA from 1 species